UUUCCGCUAGAGAACUGUGCAUUUUCCAUUUCAUGCAGGGACAGUCUCUUUUUGUCAUCCUGUUAUAAUGUGCAACCCUCUGUUCAGUUCAUGGCCGAGGAACAGAAUGUCUCACCAUGGGAGGCCCCACCCCCAGGGAGCCAACCCACGGCCUUGGUCUUCUGAGCAGGGGCAUUAACAGAGCCAGCUGCGCAAAAAGGAACUCAUGAGGCACAGGGUCCGUGGGCCAGUGGGUUUGGUGGCCAGGGAUGUGUGUGUGUCCUGGGAGAAACCGCAGGGCCUCAGGGUGCCCCUGGAAGAACAGCAGACCCCCUCCCUCUCUCACUGCAUUCAGCCAGCGUCCUCAGCCACUGCUGAGAGGCUGCUCUGGGGCCCAGCUCAGAGUCCAGCUCACAAGAGAUGAUCCAAGAAGAAAAGUCCUUGACCGUGUCCUUGAGAUCUCCAUAGACAAGUUUUGUUUUCCUAAGAAAAAAGGAGGCCAAUACCAUCUGUUCUUCACUUCUGCCUUGGGAGUCCAGUGGGGUAACAGGUGGAGGGAUAUGAGAGGAGAGAGCAGUGGAGCGGGGGCCUGUGAUGGGAAGAGCCUGUCUCUGGUCAUUUCCUUUUGGUUCUCAAGGAAUGUUCAAAGCAGAGGAGUUUGUCCUUCCUCAUCCCAAGCAUAAGAGUUAAGUGAGUUGUGACCUUGCCGUGUGAGUUCAGAUAAUAAAAAAAUUCAGUGGUUAAUGGAGCCUUAUCUUUGGAAAGAUAUACAAAAGACUGGUAGCACUGCUUGCCCCUGGAGGGUGGAGAACGGGGCAGCUGAACCACAGGUGCAUGGGGGGAGAAUUGAUUUUUUGUGUAUUAUACUCUUUUGCACUUUUUAAAUGUAAUACCAUGUAAAUGUAAUGUCUAGUAACAAAUAAAGAGAAUUCAAACUUAAAAGUGAUUCAGUCAGACGCGGUGGCUCAUGCCUGUAAUCCCAGCACUUUGGGAGGCCGAGGCUGGCAGAUCACCUGAGGCUGGGAGUUUGAGACCAGCCUAACCAACAUGGAGAAACCUUGUCUCUACUAAAAAUAUAAAAUUGCUGGGCAUGGUGGUGCAUGCCCGUAAUCCCAGCUACUCAGGAGGCUGAGGCAGAAGAAUUGCUUUAACUCGGGAGGCAGAGGUUGUGGUGAGCCAAGAUCGCGCCAUUGCACUCCAGCGUGGGCAAUUAGAGCAAAACUCCAUCUCAAAAAAAAAAAAAAAAAAAGUGAUUCAAAUGAGCCGGGUGUGGUGGCUCAUGCCUAUAAUCCCAGCAUUUUGGGUGGCCGAGGCGGGCCAAUGACCUGAGGUCAGGAGUUCUAGACCAGCCUGGCCAACAGGGUGAAACCCAGUCUCUACUAAAAAUACAAAAAUUAGCGUGGUGGUGGGUGCCUAUAAUCCCAGCUACUUGGGAGGCUGAGGCAUGAGAAUCGCUUGAACUCGGGAGGCAGAGGCUGUAGUGAGCUGAGAUCAUGCCACUGCACUCCAGCUUGGGCACAGAGUGAAACUCUGUCUCAAAAAAAAAAAAGAAAAAGAAAAAAGUGAUUCAGGUGGUUCUAGGAAUUGGUUCCGGGUUGGGGCAGAGUCAGGAGUUAAACUUUAUUCCUUUUUUUUUUUUUUGAGGUGGAGUUUCGCUCUUGUUGCCUAGGCUGGCGGGCAAUGGCGCGAUCUCAGCUCCGCCUCCUGGGUUCAAGUGAUUCUCCUGCCUCAGCCUCUUGAGUAGCUGGGAUUACAGGCAAGUGCCACCAUGCCUGGUUAAUUUUGUAUUUUUAGUAGAGACGGGGUUUCUCCAUGUUGAUGAGGCUGGCCUUGAAUUCCCAACCUCAGGUGAUCCACCCGCCUUGGCCUCCUAAAGUGCUGGGAUUACAAGCAUGAGCCAUGGCACCCAACCAAACUUUAUUCUUUAGAUCUCCUCUCAGUGAAAGGAUAGGAGAGUAGAAGAAGGGUUUGGAGUGCUCAGCAGGCUGGGCCUCCUCAUCACUCUUUCCAGAGAGUCCUUGCCUACAUCACAGGCCUCCCUGCCAGGCCUACGUCUGGGAGAGGUGGGUGCAGUUGGCACAGCCUGUGCCUGCCCUCCAGUGCAGGGCACCGUGUUCUUGCCUGCCCAUGAGUCCAGCUGCCUGAGCUCACCAGCAGCAG
ensembl:lncRNA